ensembl:lncRNA
UUGUUUGUAGAUUCGUUAUCUGUGUCUUCAGAGUGGAGGGAGCUUGGGAGAAGGAAUUAGGAGGAUGCUGAAAAAAUUGGAGAUAAUUCCUUAUGGGGAUAUUACAGUUACAAAGGGAGAAAGGGAAAACUUAAAUUUCAGCAGCUCCUCAUCAAUGAUGUCUUCAUACGUAAGUUUCAAAACUUGCCACUAAUGACUAAUAAUCUGUCUAUUUAAUAAUCUGUCUGUCAAAAUAUUUGGAUUGUUAAUAAAUUGUAAAUAAGAUUUGGUAGGUUGUAAAUGUUGUUCCUCCUUUUCAAUGUAAAAGUUGUAAGUUCUAAUCAAUACAUAUAUUAUGUAUAUUCAUAGCAGAAAUAAGAUUAAUGUUUGAUGUUCUUAGAAUAGAACUUUGUCAUUCUAAUUUCUAGUUUUAAUUUUAAUAAUGGUGAUCUCUGUAUUAAAUCAAGGUGCCUGCAGCAAGGCAUACCCAAACCAAAAAUCCCAGAGUGUGGAAGAGAUGAUUGCUGUCACCCUAAAACAUGCCCCGGAUCGUGAAAAAACAGUUAAUCAGUGAACUGCACUGGUCAGCAGAAGGUUGCUGGAUCAAUCUCCGCAGUCGUCUCCACCGGUGUGUCUUUACUCCAGGUGACUCCAGAGGAUUGAGGUCCCUUUAAUAAGAGCACUGUUUUACCUUUUUUCCACAAAUGCUGCAGUCACCUGAUCCGCCACAAAAGAUCUGCAGCAAAUGCACAGGAAUCAAGAAUCAGAAAAGUGCUGUAAUAACUCUUUGA